ACCACACUAGAGGCUGAUGGUCAAAUGAAGGAAUCGCAAUCACCAGAGCCCAGUUGUCUCUACUGGAGAGCAUCAGUCAGGGAGUUGACAAGUGAGCUGCCCUGGGGAAGGAAGAAUUUUCUGUUUGAAAGAAUCUCCACUUUUCUGCCACCAAAUUGUCAUGGGGCUCAUUACCUCCGAUGAGAUGAGCAAUGGUGUGGAAUAACUAAACUGACCUCCUCAAAGAAACUUGCCUGUCAGGGAUAACACAGGAGAACGUGAGCUGAAGGCUCCCUAUGGCAGAGAAGGGAAAAUUAAAUGAAGGUCUCCUUGAUCCUGAGGACAUCAGCUCAGUGAGCAUUGAUGGGAACACCAUGCUGUUUGUGAUUCUCCACCCCUAGUCAAAAAAGACUUGUUCUCAGCACAGCUUUUGAAAGAACCUGGCACCUUUGCAUUCUGGACAAUGGAUGGAGCACUAGCUUCUGUCAGGAGCAGAUUGCUGGAGCUGAUGCUGGCUGCUAAUUCAAGUUGCACUUCUGCUGUGCAACUGUAAGGUGAAGGAGACAUUGUGAAGAAACCGAAAAGAUGGGUAAAAGACACAGAAAUAUUUCCCUCUGAGAAGCUGCUUAGAGCAAGUUACAAGAAGUUGAGAAGGAAAAUGCAGUUCCCCUCCCUGAUGUGCAGCAAUCUGGUAGUCUCUACUAAUAACCAGGAGCAUGAGUUCAUCAAGAUGUUGUUUUCUGGAUUUAAAUCAAGAACAUCAUUGAAAUCUGCUUUUGCUGUCAGACAUGAGCUAUCCCUUAGGAGGCAAGGAGCUGAAGCAGUAGCUGGCAUAGGUCAAGAUGGUGCUGCUGAAUCAGUUGCUGCUGAGGGAAAAUGACAUGGUUCCCACUGUGUGUGCUAUCUAUGUCUUGGGAUACUUCUGUGAAGGAGAAAAGUUGUGAAUCUCCUGGUACUUCUGAUCAUUUCACAAGUGCAUGUCCUUUAAGGUGAAGAGGGACCAUUAGUCUCUGACCAUGCUUCAAGUGGGUCACAGAGUCUCAUGAAGUUACUGGUGCAACAAGGCAUAUAACUCGCAAGUUAGGAAUAAGACAAAACAAGUCAGCUAGAAUGAAAGCCCUGGGGUGUUACUGCUGCUGCAUCCAUGGAGGGCAGAGGAAUGUGCUCAGAGACUGCCCAGCCAGCACUGGCCAUGCGCUUGCUUCUCUUCUGGCCCAGGCAAAGGUCCUGGCCAUCCUCUUUAAAGUAUCCCUAAGUAUGAGAGGAGCAGUGCUGCCAGGAAUAUUUGCUUGUGAAGCGGUUAUAAAGUGGAAAAUGUUAUCUUAAUGAGCUCUUUCAGUCACCAAAUGCUAGUAAAGCGGAAUCUUUCAGUCACCAAAUGCUAGUAAAGCAGAAUCUUUCAAUUUUGUUCUUUUUUUUCCCCCUUGGUUCUACAUGGUUUACAAGCUUAGGAUAACUGAAGAAUACAACUUGCCUUUAGAGAAACCUCUUUCCACCGUUGACAAUUCAAAAUGUUAGACUUAUUCAAAACGACAUUUGCAUGUCUAAGUGGAUAGAUCACUUUCAGUGUGAGAGUUACAAAGUCUGCUCUCAUCUGUCACUGAGUUUAUGGAAGUGCAUCUUCUCAGAACAAGCUUCUCUUUUUCUUUCUUUAAGUUCUUACACACAAACUUCACUAACUCCCGUUACAAAAUUAAAACUGUGCUGACACG
rnacentral:lncRNA from 7 species